rnacentral:rRNA from 1 species
GACGAACGCUGGCGGCGUGCUUAACACAUGCAAGUCGAGCGGUAAGGCCCUUUUGGGGGUACACGAGCGGCGAACGGGUGAGUAACACGUGGGUGACCUGCCCUCAGCUCUGGGAUAAGCCUGGGAAACUGGGUCUAAUACUGGAUAUGACCUUUCCUCGCAUGGGGGUUGGGUGGAAAGUUUUUCGGCUGGGGAGUGGGCCCGGCGGCCUAUCAGCUUGUUGGUGGGGUGAUGGCCUACCAAGGCGACGACGGGUAGCCGGCCUGAGAGGGCGACCGGCCACACU